CUGCCCCAUCUCUGUCAGUGUUCAAGGCCAGGUUGGAUGGGACUUGGAGCAACCUGGUCUAGUGGGAAGUGUCCUUGCCCACGGCAGAGGGGCUGGAACGAGAUGAUCUUUAAGGUCCUUUCCAACCCAAACCAUUCUGUGAUUCUGUGCAGGCUGUACUAAGGUACGGAAC